ACGAACGCUGGCGGCGUGCCUAAUACAUGCCAGUAGAACGCACAGUUUAUACCGUAGCUUGCUACACCAUAGACUGUGAGUUGCGAACGGGUGAGUAACGCGUAGGUAACCUGCCUGGUAGCGGGGGAUAACUAUUGGAAACGAUAGCUAAUACCGCAUAAUAUUAAUUAUUGCAUGAUAAUUAAUUGAAAGGUGCAAUUGCACCACUACCAGAUGGACCUGCGUUGUAUUAGCUAGUAGGUGAGGUAAAGGCUCACCUAGGCGACGAUACAUAGCCGACCUGAGAGGGUGAUCGGCCACACUGGGACUGAGACACGGCCCAGACUCCUACGGGAGGCAGCAGUAGGGAAUCUUCGGAAAUGGACGAAAGUCUGAACGAGCAACGCCGCGUGAGUGAAGAAGGUUUUCGGAUCGUAAAGCUCUGUUGUAAGAGAAGAACGGGUGUGAGAGUGGAAAGUUCACACUGUGACGGUAUCUUACCAGAAAGGGACGGCUAACUACGUG
rnacentral:rRNA from 1 species